UCGAGCGAGUCUGCCUUGAAGAUCGGAGUGCUUGCACUCUGUGAAACAAGAUACAGGCUAGCGGCGGACGGGUGAGUAACACGUGGGUAACCUGCCCAAGAGAUCGGGAUAACACCUGGAAACAGAUGCUAAUACCGGAUAACAACAGAUGAUGCCUAUCAACUGUUUAAAAGAUGGUUCUGCUAUCACUCUUGGAUGGACCUGCGGUGCAUUAGCUAGUUGGUAGGGUAACGGCCUACCAAGGCGAUGAUGCAUAGCCGAGUUGAGAGACUGAUCGGCCACAUUGGGACUGAGACACGGCCCAAACUCCUACGGGAGGCAGCAGUAGGGAAUCUUCCACAAUGGACGCAAGUCUGAUGGAGCAACGCCGCGUGAGUGAAGAAGGGUUUCGGCUCGUAAAGCUCUGUUGUUGGUGAAGAAGGACAGGGGUAGUAACUGACCUUUGUUUGACGGUAAUCAAUUAGAAAGUCACGGCUAACUACGUGCCAGCAGCCGCGGUAAUACGUAGGUGGCAAGCGUUGUCCGGAUUUAUUGGGCGUAAAGCGAGUGCAGGCGGCUCGAUAAGUCUGAUGUGAAAGCCUUCGGCUCAACCGGAGAAUUGCAUCAGAAACUGUCGAGCUUGAGUACAGAAGAGGAGAGUGGAACUCCAUGUGUAGCGGUGAAAUGCGUAGAUAUAUGGAAGAACACCGGUGGCGAAGGCGGCUCUCUGGUCUGUUACUGACGCUGAGGCUCGAAAGCAUGGGUAGCGAACAGGAUUAGAUACCCUGGUAGUCCAUGCCGUAAACGAUGAGUGCUAAGUGUUGGGAGGUUUCCGCCUCUCAGUGCUGCAGCUAACGCAUUAAGCACUCCGCCUGGG
rnacentral:rRNA from 1 species